rnacentral:rRNA from 1 species
CAAUAGCGUAUAUUUAAGUUGUUGCAGUUAAAAAGCUCGUAGUUGGAUUUCGGGUGGGACGCAGCGGUCUCGCAUUGCGUUUGUACUGCUGCAGCCCUCCUUCUUGCCGGGGGCGGCCUCUCGGACUUCACUGUCUGGGGGUCAGAAUCGGCGAUGUUACUUUGAGUAAAUUAGAGUGUUCAAAGCAAGCUUACGCUCUGAGUAUAAUAGCAUGGGAUAACACGACAGGACUCUGGCCUAUCGUGUUGGUCUAUAGGACCAGAGUAAUGAUUAAGAGGGACAGUCGGGGGCAUUCGUAUUCCGUUGUCAGAGGUGAAAUUCUUGGAUUUACGGAAGACGAACAUCUGCGAAAGCAUUUGCCAAGGAUGUUUUCAUUGA